GAUGCUCGUUUUCUGAAUUUUCUGAAUUUGUGAUUGCUCUUGGCCUUGUCAAGUGCGUUUUCUGAAUUUUCAGAUCUGCCGCUAGCUAUGGAAGUGCGUUUUCUAAAUUUCCGCAAGUGCAACGACCAGGUUCAGUUUUAGUUGAGUGUAGCACUAGUGCAGGCUUUGGAAGAUCAGUUAUAGUUCAUUGUAGUACUAGUGUAUGUCUAACAAACUAAAUGUUACGUAGUAGAUAGAUGCAAAGUUAGUUCAGCAAUGUCAAGUUCGGUUUUAGUUCAGUGUAGUACUGCUCAAGUUGAGUUUACUUCAGGUAUAAAAUUAUCUGUUGCAGCAGUCCGAGCGAUUGUGAUUCUCGUGUUGUCUGUAGGUUUUCCGUUAGGGAGGAGUUCGCUGAUAGCUUGGAGCAGCCGGUUCCGACCCGUCUACCGCUCGUGAUAGGGAAGGAAGGUCUUUGGCCUUUGCCACGCGAGUCCAAUGUGGCGUCCGCCUACGCCGAAGUUGUUGGAGACUGUGGACUCUCUUUGAGCAGGGCGAGAGCUGAGCGGAGGAAGAAAGCAUCGCCGAGGGAGUCCGUUGAAUAGACAAGCAACGUGAAUCCUGAAGCCCCGGGAUCGAUCAAGAGGUAAUAUCUUCACGAGAGUUAAUUCUCACUUCCUUGAACAUUAAUCACUGAUAUUAAUGAUAGAGCAUAGUAGGUUCCUGUAGAUCUGUGUUCGUACCAGAUUGCCCAACACAUGGGGUCUUGAAGAAAUCAAUUGAUGUCAUUCGUGUGUUUUUUUAUACAUUUGUUAUGGUUUGCCUAGUAAAGGAGGUAGCCAAGUUUGGUAGAAAAGUUGGGUAUGUCGGGUCAAACCAUUUGCAGCUUAGUAUAGCUGCUUGAGUUCAAUUGCCUAGCCUCGGUGGCGUGGAAAAAUCAAUUGAUGGCACGGGCGUUGAGCCGCCGGACUCGAACGCUGGGUUCGGGUGCGGGAAACGUGUUGGCGGUGCUAGCCAGGGGCGGAAAGAGGGUAACGAGCGACGUUGAGGUCCGCACAGUCGACCAAUAGGGUGAAUCCGGAGGAUCCAGGUUGGACAAAAAGGAUGAGCUUUGCAAGCCAGAUAACGAAGUGGAUAGGGAUUACAUCGAGAUGAUGAACUCUACACUAAUGGGUUACAGAAUUGACUGGUUGAAGAAGUUCAUCCUCCCCAGUGCUGUUCAUGGACUGCUGGUUGCUGUACAUCCUAGACAUCGAGAACAAGGAAGUUAUGGUGCUUGAUCCAACUGAGACAGAUCCAGCAAAUGAGAUGAUAAAGCAUGAGGCAACACGAACCGUGUAUGAGGUGAGUUUGUCCAGGAAUAAUUUAUAAAUAAAAUUAUAUUAUGUGCCUUUCAUAUGGCGAGACAACGAAUGGGAAUACCGUUGCCACCAAGGAGGAGAGUGGGGUGUACAUCGUCCACUACAUAACAGAGCUCACAGGGCUUUAGCAUCGUUCAUUGCUAAGCCCAUAAAAAGAAAAUUUUGUUUCGAGUGAUGAACUGAAAAAACACCAAAAAGCAACAAUGUUGUCAGUACACUAAGUCGUGCUUCUUGAUGUUAUUUUUUGUUUGACACGUGAGAAGCUAGAUCACAUUCGGUAGAAGAUUGCAUACAAUGUUGUGACCAUGAUGGGAAACAAGGGUGAUCUCCCGGUUUUCCAUUGCGAGGAGAUAAUUGACUGAUGGGAAAUGAAUCAUGGUUCAGAUUACUUGCAGGCUGGUAACAUCUUUUGUCCGUGCGACGAGUGUGGUCUGUCCAUUUAAGUGCACCCAUUAGUGUUGGGGGGCUUUUGGAGAAACCAAAAUCCAAAGUAGUGUGUGAUGGAAACCUAUGGACCUUAUUUGAAUUUGUACUUAAAGACCUGAGUAGAGUCAGGAGACCUACAUGUGUGC